AUACGGAGGACGCGAGCGUUAUCCGGAUUCAUUGGGUUUAAAGGGUGCGCAGGCGGCCGUGCAAGUCAAAUGUGAAAUCCCCGAGCUUAACUAAUGUAUGCCAUUGAUACUGGAUGUCUUGAAUGUGGUAGAGGUAGGCGGAAUGUGUUGUGUAGCGGUGAAAUGCUUAGAUAUAACACAGAACACCGAUUGCGUAGGCAGCUUACUAUUCCAUUAUUGACGCUGAUGCACGAAAGCGUGGGGAUCAAACAGGAUUAGAUACCCUGGUAGUCCACGCUGUAAACUAUGAUCACUCGUUUUUGGCGAUAUAUAGUCAGAGACUGAGCGAAAGCAUUAAGUGAUCCACCUGGGGAGUACGUUCGCAAGAAUGAAACUUAAAGGAAUUGACGGGG
rnacentral:rRNA from 1 species